AAUGUAAUUAGGUAACCUUCACAUUUCUCUCGAGCCCUUCUGCCCUUACACUUCCUGUCGCCUCCGUCCAGAAACUUGUUGCUAGUUUGCAGCCAUGCCAUGUUCUUCCAAGACCCCACCCUUCUGUUAACCUGAUUCUGAGAUCUCCUCGAGUUCCCUGGCCAGGUCCUUCUGCCGGCCGACGACGAUGGUGACGUGGUCCUUGCCGUCGAUGACCCUGACCUGGGCGCGCGGGACCUUUGCCUUCACCGCGUGGCUGCACUGCACGGGGAGGAGCUCGUCGUCCCCGCCGUGGUAGACGGUGACGUCGCAGGUGAGCUGGUCCCGGACGACCUCCAGGCAUUUGUCGAUCUUGCCGGCGCUGCCGCAGAUGAUGUUGUGGAGCGUGUGCCACGACGCGAUGUGGGUGUGGCAGAAGAAGCCGUCCAUGAGGUAGGUCCGGACCCUGCCCGUCGCAGCACGACCAACGGUUGGUUAGCCCAAAAUAAUAAUAACAAACAAGCGUCCCUCCCAAAACUGACCCUGCCUAGCUUGGUUUAGUAGCUAGUACUGCACUGGUUGUCCAUUUAUACAGUCUCGAACUGUUGUUCAUGCGCCCGGCUGGCUGCAUCAUAUGAACAUGCAGAAAAGAUGAACUCUGUACACUGUACACCCCUUUGGGGGGUACCCUUCACCAAAUCUUGGAACCUAGAGAGUUGGAGAA